rnacentral:tRNA from 2 species
UGGGGCGUAGCCAAGUGGUAAGGCAGCGGGUUUUGAUCCCGCCAUCCGUAGGUUCGAAUCCUACCGCCCCAGCCA